rnacentral:sRNA from 12 species
CGUGUCCUGCGCCGGUCGAAGCCCUGCGUUCCUACGCGGGGUAUUUUCAUAGGCCGCGCGGGACACG